UACGUAGGUGGCAAGCGUUGUCCGGAAUUAUUGGGCGUAAAGCGCGCGCAGGCGGUCCUUUAAGUCUGAUGUGAAAGCCCACGGCUCAACCGUGGAGGGUCAUUGGAAACUGGGGGACUUGAGUACAGAAGAGGAAAGCGGAAUUCCACGUGUAGCGGUGAAAUGCGUAGAGAUGUGGAGGAACACCGGUGGCGAAGGCGGAUCUCUGGGCCUUACCUGACGCUCAGGCGCGAAAGCUAGGGGAGCGAACAGG
rnacentral:rRNA from 1 species